CGGCCUUGACAUACUAAGAACUUUCCAGAGAUGGAUUGGUGCCUUCGGGAACUUAGAUACAGGUGCUGCAUGGCUGUCGUCAGCUCGUGUCGUGAGAGUGUUGGGUUAAGUCCCGCAACGAGCGCAACCCUUUUCCUUAUUUGCCAGCGGGUCAUGCCGGGAACUUUAAGGAUACUGCCAGUGACAAACUGGAGGAAGGCGGGGACGACGUCAAGUCAUCAUGGCCCUUACGGCCAGGGCUACACACGUGCUACAAUGGUCGGUACAAAGGGUUGCUACCUCGCGAGAGGAUGCUAAUCUCAAAAAGCCGAUCGUAGUCCGGAUCGCAGUCUGCAACUCGACUGCGUGAAGUCGGAAUCGCUAGUAAUCGCGGAUCAGAAUGCCGCGGUGAAUACGUUCCCGGGCCUUGUACACACCGCCCGUCACACCAUGGGAGUUUGUUGCACCAGAAGUAGGUAGUCUAACCGCAAGGAGGACGCUUACCACGGUGUGGCCGAUGACUGGGGUGAAGUCGUAACAAGGUAAGCGUAGAUGA
rnacentral:rRNA from 1 species